GGCAGGCUGUCCAAAUAACUUCGAUGUCUACUCAUACAUCCAUGGAUAACAGUCGCAAAUGAAGGACUUUUACCUUCAAUCAGAGGCGGUUGCUAGGCGCACCAGAAUCUACCACUGUAGCUGACGUAUGUCGUCAUUGAUCGCGACGUGUCUCCUGAUUGGUCAUGACCAUCUGGGAGGAGCUCGGAGAGGCGGAAAACAGUUUUAAACCAAGUUUGAACUAUUGCUUCUGUUUGCUCGUACUGUAAGAAAACGUUGCAGGUGAAGUCUGGAUGCUGAAACAAACUCUGGGGCUGCUUUUUGUCAUUAAUGAAGAGGUCUGGAUGCUAAAACAAACUCUGGAGCUGAUUUUUUGUCGAACAGGAGUGUGCCUGGACGCUGAACACACGUGCGGCGCGAAGGUUUACUCGUUCAGCUGCUGCAGCCUGGACAGAAACACCAGCUCUCACCUUACAAACCAAAUGUGUCACCACUUCAUCCACGAUCACAAUGAAGAAGUUCUUUGAAACCAGGGCUGAGGCCUCCAGGAUUCAAACUUCAACAAUUAAAUAAAUCAGAGAGAAGAGACACAGACAUGAAGACAUUUCCAGAAGGUCUUCAGCUGCUGUCGUCUUCUCCUCCUGCAGAGACGAGAACACGUGUUAAUCACAGAAACUGAUGAGUAGAUCUGUUUUCCCUUUCCUAAACUGACCUUAUUCAUUGUUGAUACCUAAUUACAGUGAUUUAAACUAAACUUUGUACAACUCGUUCAGUAUCACAUUCAGUAUUUUAGUGUGUUUCUAAUUAUUACAGUCACAGCAGUGACUAGAAAGAGAUAAACAUGAACCAUGUAAUAAAUACAGGAAAACAAUUUAUACUGUACUGUUACUAAAAUUAUGUUAUUUUGCUAAAAUUAUUUAAUAAAUAUUUUUCAUGACAUGCUAUUGCAUAACAUAACAUCCUGUGGCAUCUUUUAGUGGCCUUUUUAAUGACUUUUGAAUGAUGAAUGAAUUUUUUGAUGCCAUACUACACUAUGACAUUUGGCUUAAUACAAAGGAACUAUCUUAAAGCUGCAAUCUUACCUUUGUUCUCCACAGACACACACAUAUUCACACACGCACAAUGUUUGUGGGUUAAGAUUUUAUGUUUGUCAUUUCAUUUAGAUAUUUUGCUAUUUCAAACAGUGCAAUGUCAGUACUCAAAUCUAAUCUAUAACUGUGUACACAGUCCUUUUUAUACUGUUCAUAUUGUUAUAUAUAUAUCUUGCCUUGUUUAUAUCAUGCCUUUUUUAUAUUUUUGCUGCUGUAACACUUAAUUCCCUUGGUGUGGGACUAAGGAUUAUCUUUUUCUUAUUCAAAUAAAUACAUCUGAACACUGAAUAUUUUGUCUGUCUGUUUAAUGUUGUAUGAAAGUGAAUAUUUUCGCUACUUGUAGCAAGAGGUUAGGGUUACGGAAUUU